UCCGGUGCCCUCGUUUAUUCCAGGAAAGGGUAAUGGAGUAAAUCCUCCUCGCGCUGAGUGUACUCGGCCUUCUCCGGAAGGGUCCUGAGUGGGGUCACCGAGCACAGGAAGAGUCGUGAGACUCCCCACGAAUAAUAGCGUACUUUUCCUUUCUGGGAAACGCGGACCUGCUUUCUCCGCGCUGUCGGGAGGUCAGAGUUUCAAAGUUUCCCAAACCCAGGGACAACUCCUGGAUUCUCAGUUUGGGGCUGUGUUCCCAAGAGCCUCGGUGGUUGUAGGAUAAAGGAGUUUCGAGAAACGAAGUUGGAAGCGAGGAAACAGAAUGGGAACGGUUUGCAGCUUGCACCAAAGUAAAAAAGUGUCAGAACCACACCUUAAAAGAAAAUCCCAAACCACCCAUCUUAUGUCACCUUCUCUUACCAUUCUAAGAAAAUAGCAUUUAGUAUGCUGUUAUAACCAAGGAAAUCUGCCUUGAGUAAAGUGCAACUAAGACGAGGAAGAGGGAGUAGGCAAUUACAAUGUCACAGCAAAGCACCAUGGGCAUGAAGAAACUUUAUCCUGAAAGCAAUCUUGGACUCUCAAAAAAAAAAAAAAAAAAGCCACCGGAAUAGUCAUUUGAAUUUCUUCAUUUGAAUUUCUUCAUGCCAGGCUACCAGGGAAAAUGCAAUUUGGAAAAACACAUAUAAGGUCGUUUGGCUCCAAAGAAAGAAACCUCCCAAUUUUUUAAAUAUGUCCAUACAAAAAUCCUCAAUUUAUAAGAAAUUAAACAGGUAAGGUAACUCUUCUAACCCCAAA